rnacentral:rRNA from 1 species
GACGAACCGUGCAAACGUUGUUCGGAAUCACUGGGCUUAAAGGGCGCGUAGGCGGGCAAGCAAGUCGAAGGUGAAAUCCCACGGCUCAACCGUGGAAGUGCCCCCGAUACUGCUUGUCUUGAGGGAGAUAGGGGCGUGCGGAACUUCCGGUGGAGCGGUGAAAUGCGUAGAUAUCGGAAGGAACACCGGUGGCGAAAGCGGCGCGCUGGAUCUCUUCUGACGCUGAGGCGCGAAAGCCAGGGGAGCAGACGGG